AUAGUAAAUAAAUAAACCACAAUGUCGAAAAAAAUCAGAACGAUUUUCUCUAGCCAAACUUUUUCUGAGUUAGAACUAGUUAUUUCUGAGUUUAAAUUAGUUAUUGCUGGAAUACUUUGCGUGAAAUAUUUGUGAAAAGGACAUCAUAUAUGACACCUGGUCAGGAUAAUAAGUGUCAUGACGUAAUGCAAAUUACAAACGCAGGAAGCUCAAUGGAUCCUCGAGAUCUCGUGAGGCAAUUCACGAGAACCAUACCCUCGAAUCUUCUACCCGGGAAAACAUGUCGGGAAGCAAUAUGGCUCAUUGAGGACUGCAAUUGAUCGAGAAAGUGAUGAAGAAUUAGCUACAAAUGCGAUACGGUUCGAGCAAUUGUAAUAAUUGCAAAUUACUCGGACUUAUUUAUUUAGAAAUGAUGGUUUGAUCUAUCGUUUUCAGAAGAUUUUAGAAUUUCAUCACACUAAUGAUCCUUCCAAGUCGGGGCACCAGAUCCAAGUUCAACAAAUGAUUAUGUAGAUUAACUGAUAUUUUGGCCACUAAUAAAAGCUCUGUGUUAUAAAAUUGAAGUACAUCGAUUCCCGGAAAGACUUCUUCAUUCAUAAACAUAUUGGCCCUUAUUACCGUUCUCACUUUUACUUUCACAUUCACUUCACUUACAUGUCACUUUACUUGAUUUUCCUUAUUACCAGUAUCACGCAUAGUGAAGUGAUCAUUGUAAUGGAAAAAACUUAUUUUUUCAACAAAAUGUUGGUGGCGUGAUGUUCAUAAUGACAUCAAGUGCAUCCAAGUAAUUACUUUUGUCUCUAAAGCGACUUCCGUAAUAAAGAUUUACAUUCACUUCAUUCGAUUUUCACCGUGAAGUGAUACCGGUAAUAAGGGCCAUUA